rfam:Danio rerio chromosome 4, GRCz11 reference primary assembly.
GCCCGGCUAGCUCAGUCGGUAGAGCAUGAGACUCUUAAUGUCAGGGUAGUGGGUUCGAGCCCCUCGAUGGGCG